rnacentral:pre_miRNA from 1 species
AAAAAGACAAAUCAUGCGUUUCCGUAUCCAACUUUAAUCAUCUGUCUUAUAUAAAAUUUUUUAUAAUUCGUAUUUUUAUUGUUGUUAGAUAAUAAAACAUGAUUAAUAUUUUAUGUGUGACUUGUCUUUUUAAUUUUUUUUAUAAUUUUUUUAAAUAAGACGGACGGUUAGGGUUUGUC